rnacentral:rRNA from 1 species
AUUGAACGCUGGCGGCAGGCCUAACACAUGCAAGUCGAGCGGAUGAAGGGAGCUUGCUCCUGUAUUCAGCGGCGGACGGGUGGGUAAUGCCUAGGAAUCUGCCUGGUAGUGGGGGCUAACGUCCGGAAACGGGCGCUAAUAUCGCAUACGUCCUGAGGGUGAAAGUGGGGGUUCUUCGGACCUCACGCUAUUAGCUGAGCCUAGGUCGGAUUAGCUAGUUGGUGGGGUAAAGGCCUACCAAGGCGACGAUCCGUAACUGGUCUGAGAGGAUGAUCAGUCACACUGGAACUGAGACACGGUCCAGACUCCUACGGGAGGCAGCAGUGGGGAAUAUUGGACAAUGGGCGAAAGCCUGAUCCAGCCAUGCCGCGUGAGUGAAGAAGGUCUUCGGAUUGUAAAGCACUUUAAGUUGGGAGGAAAAGCAGUAAGAUAAUACAUUGCUGUUUUGACGGUACCAACAGAAUAAGCACCGGCUAACUUCGUG